AAUUAUUAGAUUACUACUUUAUCGGAGAUAUACUUUACAAAUUAAUUGAAGUAUUUUAUCGUUAGAUAGCGUUGUCGUUUCCAAAUCUUUAGUUCUGAUUUCUAGGUUAUUACUGGCGCUACGAUUUUAUUCUAUUGAGUUCUUGAUAACGUUGUUCGUAAUAGAAAAAUGGUAAGCAACCUAAACGAGAAGUAUUUGAUAAUUGUUAGAUCUAUGAUACGACUCGUUAGCGUUAAAAGAUAAUGUGAUAUCAUAAUAGACGAAAAAUAUACGUUUAAGUAUAUUGUCAAGGCGUAGUCAUCGUGUUUGGGUUAUAAAAAAAAAAAAAAAAAAAGAAAAAAAGAAAAAAAAGAAGAACAAACAAACAAAACAAAUUUUUUUUCUACGCAAUGGCGAAUGAUCGAGAAGUUUUGAGGGAAAUUUGGGAUGGUAAAAUUCCCGUUUGUUUUACACUCGAUACCGAGGAAACGUGCGAAUUACAAGGUCCUGAUCCGUUUUAUCUUAUGGUGCCUAGAUUAAGUUAUUUUCCAGUGUGCACAGAGAAGGUGAGAAAACAUUUUAUAAAACAUAUAGAAAGUGAUAGCAAACAGGAUCAUGAAAUGUGGUUAGAAUUUAAUGGAAUUCCAUUAAAGUGGCACUAUCCUAUUGGUGUAUUAUUAGAUAUAUAUUCGAAUGACAUUGAAUUACCAUGGAAUAUCGUUGUUCAUUUUGAUAAAUUUCCAGAAAAUGUCUUGAUGCAUUGUCAGAACAAAGAAGUUGUAGAAUCACAUUUUCUUGCUUGCGUUAAAGAGGCAGAUGUUUUAAAACAUAGAGGACAAAUUGUGUCGGCUAUGCAAAAAAAGGAACACAGCAGUUUAUGGAAUGGAUUAAUUACCGAUAAAUUCGAUCAAUUUUGGUCUAUAAAUCGAAGAUUAAUGGAAGCAGCUAAUAGCGAAGAAGGAUUCAAAUAUAUCCCUUUUCGAUGCUACACAAGCGAGGAUAAAUAUAUUCAAAAGCUUGUUAAACCAGUUAAUGAAGAAGGCCAAAGGAAAACGUUGAAACAUUUAUUGAACGAAGUAUUUCCAGAUCAAGAAAAUGUUGAAGUACGUACUCAUGGAAUUAUACCAUCACCGGAGACACCAUUGCAAUGGAUGUCAGAACAUUUAAGCUAUCCUGAUAAUUUUCUUCAUUUAGUUGUGACUUCUUCAUAACCUAUAUUGAAGAGAUGUGAUAAACUAUAACUUCAGUGUUAUUAUUUAAUAUUGCUGGUGAUUAUUUAGAAAAGAUCCUUGUAUCAUGGAUCUUCUCCUUAAAAAUACAGAUUUUAUUUUUUAUUUUUUAUUUAUUUUCUAAUAAAUGUCAGAUGGUACAUUUUGCCUCUUAUUAUAAGCAAUAGAAAUGUACUGCUUUGAUUUUAUACAUGUUUGUAUAAGGGAAGCAAGGGAAAACAAUUUAUGGAAAAUAAUUUAUUUAUUAAUAGCUAAUAAAAUCUGUUUGAUAAAGCAGAUUUUAACGUGGAUCAAUUGUUCUUACCAAUUAAAUCGAUCGUAUUUCGUAAAAAUCCGUAUCCGUGCAUUAUGAUGUAUUACGUAUAAAAUUGUUUGUAAAAUAAUUUAAAGAAUGUUUGAUAUUUAAAUUUGAAGAAAUCAAUAUAUAUUAAUUUAUUAUCUAUAGUACAAUUCUCAUGAGGCUUACGAUACAUUCUCAAUAUUCGCAAUGGCAAAGGAUCACUUACUUCUGAAACUUCGAGAGGUCUACGUAUUAUUACCGGUUGAUUUCCAUAAUUACUAUACUCCAUAGUUCUACGACUUGCUCCAAAGGUUAAAUAGUUCACUUCUUUUUUACUCUGAUGUUCCUGUAAUAAAAAGUUAAGAUAUAUUGAUCAUGGAACGAUAUCCUUUGAUUUUUCUUUUGCGAACUGAAAAAAAGAAAAAAAGAAAAGAUCACUAAAAGAUUUUCUAAGAAAACUAAUCGAGAUAUUAUUAGUUUCGAUAGCGAAUCUUUCGUAUCUCCUGAUUGAUGUUUCCUCGAAGAAAAGGAUUAAGUCAAAGAUGAAAAAGAAACGAGGAGAGGAGAGAAGGGAAAAGGGCAGAAAGAAGUUAAGAAAGGCACGAGCGUAGGAUAAAAAUAUAUACGUACAACUUCGGCGUUGCCUUUCGCAACGACAGAAACGAGACAAACGACGCUUUUUCUACUAUACCGAGGGAAGGAUCACGAUGCGUGCCUUUGUCUCCAUCUUUCUCUCUCUCCUCUCUCUCUUUCUCUUCAUCUCUGUCGUUAUGCGCCUUCAAGAACGCGUGUUCUCGCUUGUCCCUAUCUCUUUGAGUGCAAGUGCGCUUUAUAAUUAGCCGCCAUCGUGAAAAUGACUCUCGAGAGCGGCAGGAGCGUUCACUGAAGGUUUUCCCAGUCAAAUUGCUGCUCGAAUGUGACGGUCGUUUUGAUGUCACGACUUAAAUUAUUCCACUCUAAUCGCGGUUCUUCCUCGGCUAUCCUUUGAAAGAAGAAUCGACUCGAAGAAGACUAGAAGAAUAAUUAUAGGAGAACGAAUCUUAGUUGGACUACCGAUCACCCCCUUGCUUUGCUACGGACAGAAUCAGUCACGUUACUUGAGACUUUGGAAUAGAGCCAGAAAACAUUUUGUAUAUCCCUUUUGAAUUUCCGGUAGACAAAUAACAUUUCUAGAUUUAUUAGAAAGAUUUUCUCUUAUCUCUUUCUAUUUAAUUUUCUUUUUUCUUCUAUUGGAUAGGUAGAUUAUUCUCUCUUCCCCUUCCCCAAGCGCUACCGUCCUUAUAGAAAAAAAUGAUUUUAUAAUCGACAAGGGAAAUCUUUAAAAAAUGAAUAAGAAUCCGGAAACAAUUCUUAAUUUCUUUUUCAUUGAAUAUAAUUUCUUUUGAUUAAUUAUGUUUUUACAAGACUCGUCAUUACGAGUUCGUUCAAUUCGAUGGAAUAUUUUUUUACGUGCCGGUGCAUCCUUUCUAAUUGCAUAGGGGGAAAAAAAAAAAAAAAAAGAAAAAGAAAUGUAAAAAGGAUCGCGAAAGGAUUUCAAACAUUUCACCGAACGAACUGAAUUCUUAAUUAUUAAUUAUAUUCUCUCUGUGACUCCUCGUCAUUGAAUACUGACGCUCGAUCCUAUGGAAUAUUUUUCUACGUGCCAGUGCAUCCUUCCUAAUUGCAUUGCACCAGUCUGUGACAUUUAUUGGCGUUGAUUGACGCGUUGCAUCAGUCAUGCUCUACGAUUCAAGGUUCGACUUUUGUGCGCGUGCGCACGGGUUAUAUACACCCGCGUUCAUAUACAGUGGCCUCAAUAAAAACGAGUGGUGUUAUUUAUCAUCGCGAUAUAUGUAUAACGUCGUAGCUUUUGGCAAUCGGUCUUUGCUUGGUCGUCGUCCUCGUAGACGAGCAUGUAGAUCGAAAGAAAAACAAACUCUAAACAUGAAAAUAAUCAAUUGGAAUUUACGAAGUCGAUUUAUUCAAAGACGAAUCAUGCAUUUCCUAAACUUCACUUCAAAUUUUUCUUUCUUCUGCAAUUUAAUUCAAUUAUCGACAUCGAAAUUUAAAUAUUCUAUUUCAUGCACAUUUUAUAUUUCUUCUCGAUGACGUUUACGAAAUUGCAAUAAAAAUGUACGAACAUAAAGAAAUAUAUAAAAUAUCUAAGAAUGAAUUUUUAUUAAGAAAACUGAUGUGUAUGUGUGUGUUUGCGCGUGUCACGCGAGUAUAGUAAUUUUUAUCUAAUUGGCGUAUUGAUUACGUUUGUCGAAGUUCAAAUGUAAUAAUAAUUAAUUAUACUAUAGAAUUUUUAUUUUUCCCGUUCGUAGAAAUUUAUCAUGAACGAGGGACUUAAAUCAUGUUUGUGGAAUCAAACGUGAUAUCGAUAAACUCACGAUUCUGCUUUAUCUUCGAGAGCAAAGAAGCGAUCUACGGAUUUCUCGUUCUAGCAGCAGCUUUGUUCGUUUGUUUUCAAAGACGAUCAUUCGACACGUGCGUAUUUAACUUAUUUGAAACGAGUGAACAGACAAACGUCGAAACAGAUGUCGAUCGAAAUAAAUUAAGUUUCACUUGGUAUUCGUUUGAUCGCGAUAAGAAAAGUUAACUUGAAUUCAUUCAGUUAAUUUCUAAUAUUCGUUAAUCAAAGAAAAGAAAAAGAAAAAGAAAAAGAAAAAAAAAAAAGAGCGAUCACAUGUACAAAAUAUUUUUUGUUUCUUCUUCUUAUACAAAAUAUACAAUCAGUAUACAAUGGCGGAGCAAAAGAAAUCGUGUUAAUAGUACAAACGUAAAAAGAGAAUGAGGAUCAAAGGAUGCCCUCAGAUUCUACAAAAAAAAAAAAAAAAAAAGGCAUCACGUCAAUUAAAAUCGAUAUAGUAUAGCUAAGUGAGUAUGCAUCGUCACGGUGAAAGCGUCAAGUGCUAAGGCGAGACUAUGAGCGAGCAAAGCUUCAUUCUGUCACAUACAAACUUAUCUACGUACCUACAUAUACAUACAUAUAUAUGUACGUAUAUAAAUAUAAAUAUAUAUAUAUAUAUAUAUAUGUACACACAAAGAUCACCAAUCGUUCUUAUCUCGUAAAGUGGUCACAUCAUUUUCCAACGAAGAAUCGAGCAGAAGUAUGACUCUUUUUCUUAGGAACUGACAGCCCAUUUUCUUUUUUUUUUUUUUUUUUUUUUUUUACAGAUACCGAUUGCGUAAUCUUCAUUGGUGUUUAGUCAUUUUUCCAGAAGUCUUUACCUUUACCUUCGUCUAACGUCACGCUCGUGAAAGAAAAAAAAAAAAAAGAAAACAAACAAGUAAGCAAAAAAAAAAAGGGAACAAAAAGACAAAGGAAAAAAGG